GCAAAUAAAGCGUUGCAGGUGUUAUAUAAAAAGAAUAAAACUUGUCUGCUGGAAGUAAAGAGGGGACUAAGAGUAUGGAGAUAUGCUAAGAUCCGAGCGCAGGCGUUUACGCGUAUGGGAGACUCAAAGGUUCCUUUGAUGCAUUUGGGUGUACUGGAGAACGGGCAGCCUAUUGAAGCAUGGCAGACCACCUGAGAGUUGUUUUCUGGACUCUGGGAGGUCACCUGACACCAGUGCUCUGGAGAAGGUGCACCGCACUGGAUUUCACAUGAAAAGAUCUCACAGCUUUGGAAUGACACAAGAGUGAAAUUCAAUAUGUGCAAAGCAUUUUAGCCAUCUUAGGAGUGAGGAGACGAAUCAUUUCUGUUCUGAAUGGAUGAUUCAGAGCCAGAGGUGAAUCAUACAGGGGUUUGUUUGUAUCUGUGCCUCUGAUCCCCCUCUGAUAGUCCCUACAUCGCGCAACAUCUGUCACGCCGCGUGCCACAAUCGCUCACGUAGAGCUUUAGGUGAUGCUGGGGUAUGGUUAUUCCUGCCACACGGUCCACAUGGGCAUCCCCAACGCCAGCGCUCAUUAGCAGGCAGGUGGCGUUAGAGAUUCGACUGGGGCCGAGACGAGGAAUAGAACCUGGCAAAGCGGGUUGAACGUCCGCAUCGGGUAAUCCCCGCCAGAUUGCCAGGAUAUCAGAAGUGACAUCACAAAGCCAACAAAAAUUAGCAUCCCUAAUGGUCUGCCAGGCCAAACAUUAUUCUUCAUGAUGAGAAGCAGUCAUGCCUGCCCAGGGCUCCUGACGAUUUGGCCAAAAGCAGUGGAGGCCCCUGAGCUCUCAGCUCCAGCCAAAACCAACAGGCACUAUUCUCCAACCCAUGAAGACCGGUUCUACUCUACUGACAAGGAAGUUCCUGAGGAAAAUCCUUGAUACGCUCCCAUCAUACGCCGCUGAUGCCUUCAGAUUCUAGAAGAUCCUGACCUGAAUGCAAAGGAAGAGGCUCUCACCUGGUGCUUGAUAACCAGUGAAAAACACCUUGACUAGAUUUAGAAGCUAAAACCGAGAAAGAUCAAUGAGAGGAGAGUGGGAGAGUGGCAGAUUUAAUUAAUUACUGCAUAUUAGAAUGUUUGUUUACAAAAGUGAACAGUUACAAGGGGCCUGAUGGUAAUUAAUUUAAAACGUACUUCCCCCUGUCCCUGCCUCGCGUCUGCACUAGACGUGGUUGUUUCAUGGCAGGUAAGUCUACGUCUCAUUGGAUUUCCAUCAAUUGCUCAAAGGUGUGUUUGAAAACAAAGAUGCAUGGUACGCAAAUUAGCCUGAAUGUUAACAUGAUUGCAUAUUAAGAAAUCUAAUUAGUAUUCAAGGGAAUCAGAAGGGAAGAGCUGCAUGAUGUUGUGAUAAUGCACGUCUGUAUGGAGAGUUUUACCGUUUUUCGCCUAUAACAUAUUUGCUUUUUCAUUCUCUAUUGUAUUUAAAUGUAACUUUGUGUUUUAAACAGAUCUGUAAAUUCUCUCCGUAAAGAUGACUUAAUUUUCCCGACAAUGUCACAGCGGUUGCACGUUUGUGUGUUUUCAGCUGUGGUCAGGACGGUCUCUCGAGGUCCCCCCUCCAGGACAAUGAUGUAUUUAAGUCCCCUAAGAGGUCAGAUGGACUCUGUCCAGAACAUCACCUGCAAUCAAUAGUGUUGGUAAACCAGGCUCAACUGAGUGGCCAUGAAGACUCCCCUUAUAAACACGCUCACAGAGAGGCCGGCAUGGCCCAUUGCUUUGCUAAAACCGCAACCAACAUCCUCACACACACACACACACACACACACACACACACACACACACGCAACACAUGCCACCACUCUGAAAACAAGUGUUGAUGACAAAGAGAAGAAAAAUAACAGCACCUCAGCGGUAAGUGGAGAGCCUCCAGGUGAUGAAAUCCUCUCUAAAGUGACACAAAAUUGAAGCAAAUUGACAGCCAUGUGAAUGUGUUUAUAAAUGCUAGUCUGUGGUACUGCUGUGGAGCAAUGAGGACACUGGAGUGAUAGUUGGGAUUUAUCUUAUUUUACUGAAAUCAUUUAGUUUCAUGAGAUAAAUUUAUGAAAUAAAAACUGUUACAUUUUUUAAAUUAAUUAAAUUUAUUUUAUUUGAGUUAACAUUUAUUUCAUUGAGCUAGCUGCAACAUGGGCCAAGGCAUUAUUUAUUUUUCUUUCUUUUAUUGGUUUAAAUAACUUAAACUAAAAUUAAAAAUUUAAAACUAAAUGAAUAUUACAAAAAUUACUAAAAUGAAAAUGAAAAAUAUAAAAAGCUAAUUCAGUAUGUAAACUAUUAUUAUUAAAUCUAUAAUAGUAUAUCAAUAAUAGUAAAAUAGCAAAUUCAUUAUUCUUAUUUCAAUAGUGCAUACAUGUAUACCAGCA